rnacentral:sRNA from 1 species
GGGCAGCAAUCUCAGCUCACUGCAACCUCCACCUCCUGGGCUGAAGCGAUCCACCUACCUCAGCCUCCCAAAAUGUUGGGAUUACAGGCGCGUCUUCCAUGUAUGCACCUUUUCCACCAAGUGUGUGUUGACCAAUGGUUGAUUACCAAUAAGAAGUGCCCCAUAUGCAGAGUGGACAUUGAGGCCCAGCUCCCAAGUGAAAGUUGACACCAUGUUUCAGAACUCUUGCCCUCCCUCUUAUUCCCAUCCUUCCUGGUACUGCAGUCAACCAAAGAUGGCAUGACUUACCUGCGCAGAUUUGGAAGCAUUGAACUUAGAGUGCUGGCUCUGCUAUAUGGUACAACUAAUGCUAGACCUACAGUUUAUGUAUACAGUUGAUUCUGAUGUAUUUAUAAAAGCUUUUUUUUCUAGAUUUGACAUUUUUCUGUAUCAUUUUACUGUAUUUUUGCAUGGUUCCUUGUAUUGCAUUUCUUUGCACAUAUUAUGGGCUUGUGACCCUAAACUUGCAGGCAAGGUUAGCUGCUUUAGUAAGUAGAAUUUUGUGGUCUUUUUGUUUUUUACAUAGUACCAAGCCUUGAUAAUUAUGACUUUUUUAUCCAUUACUAACUUUUAAUUUAAUCAAUCAUGUACCUUAGUUUAAUGUAUAAAGAUCCUCUAGAAAAUGAUAAUAUUGUGUAUUAAGACAUUCCUUAAUUAGGACAAAAUGGCUGCUGUAUAUUUACUAUAUGGAGUUCUGAGUUAAAUACCAUCCUUAAUACUGGGAACAGAAUACAACCCAUAUUAAAUCAGAUGCAGGUGGUAGUCACAUCACCAGAGUGA